rnacentral:lncRNA from 10 species
UCUCACUCUGUCGCCCAUGGAGUGCAGUGGAUCAAUCACGGCUCACUGCAACUUCGAUUUCCGGGCUCAAGUAAGUGUUCCUCCCACCUCAGUCUCCUGAGUAGCUGGCAUGCACCACCACACUCGCCAAAUUUUUAAAUUUUUUGUAGAGACAGGGUCUCCCUAUGUUUCCCAGGCUGGUCUCCAACUCCUGGGCUCAAGUGAUUGGCCCGCCUCGGCCUCCCAAAUUUCUGGAGUUACAGGUGUAAGUCACCAUGCCCAGCCCCAAAUUCAAUGUUUGAUAUUGACAGCAUGGUAGAGUGAGAGUACACUAUUUUUUUUUGGAAACACA